rnacentral:misc_RNA from 1 species
CCUUCUUUUGUUGUCCUUCCUCUAGAGCAACCUUCCUCUUCACAUCCUCCUUCAAAGCCCAUAAUUCUUGUCUUGCAGUCUUUAAGGCUUCGAGAUCAUCUUGAAGUUGGAAAGCAGGGGCCCUGAUAACUACUUCUUUGAAAUCACCUUCGGCCAUCAAACCAACCACAUGUUCAAGAGUUCCAGCAACACUUUUCCCAAAAAUGUAGCUGGAGUAGCAGUUCCUGGAGCAACAGCCCGCGAGACACAUUUUCUGUGUUUCUUGUGUACUUUUGCUAAGCAGAGUAUUUACUUCAGCUAUCACAGCAUCCACCCUUGAAAGCCAUCCCCCAACUUGAUCCAGCUGCACUGUUUGUGGUCUUUGCUCAUUGAUGAUCAUGCGCAUCACAUCAUUCCUCAAAUCUCUUAACUGAUCACUCGCAGUGUUAAGAGCUUUAAGAUUAUCUUGAAGCUGGCAUACGUAAAAAGCUUGCCCAGUAAUGCAAUCCCAGCAACGACCAAUCAAGGCAUCACCACAUUGAAUCUGAAACAUGUUACCCAUAGCUUGUGAAAGAAUUGGACACAAGGAAAGUAAGUGGAAAAUGAUGAAUGGAAACCAAAUUACUGAGAGGAACUAAGGGAAGAAAAGGAAGAACAGUUGACAGUAGGAGAAAUGCAGGGGAGAGAGUAAGGUGGAAAGAAUGAUGGAAAAGAAAUAUAAUUUUUGGUCUCUCUUUUGUUUUUCCAUCUUU